rnacentral:rRNA from 1 species
UAGGGAAUCUUCGGCAAUGGGGGCAACCCUGACCGAGCAACGCCGCGUGAGUGAAGAAGGUUUUCGGAUCGUAAAGCUCUGUUGUAAGAGAAGAACGUGUGUGAGAGUGGAAAGUUCACACAGUGACGGUAACUUACCAGAAAGGGACGGCUAACUACGUGCCAGCAGCCGCGGUAAUACGUAGGUCCCGAGCGUUGUCCGGAUUUAUUGGGCGUAAAGCGAGCGCAGGCGGUUUAAUAAGUCUGAAGUUAAAGGCAGUGGCUUAACCAUUGUUCGCUUUGGAAACUGUUAAACUUGAGUGCAGUAGGGGAGAGUGGAAUUCCAUGUGUAGCGGUGAAAUGCGUAGAUAUAUGGAGGAACACCGGUGGCGAAAGCGGCUCUCUGGUCUGUAACUGACGCUGAGGCUCGAAAGCGUGGGGAGCAAACAGG